AGAUUGAACGCUGGCGGCAGGCCUAACACAUGCAAGUCGAGCGGUAGAGAGGUGCUUGCACCUCUUGAGAGCGGCGGACGGGUGAGUAAUGCCUAGGAAUCUGCCUAGUGGUGGGGGAUAACGUUCGGAAACGGACGCUAAUACCGCAUACGUCCUACGGGAGAAAGCGGGGGACCUUCGGGCCUCGCGCCAAUAGAUGAGCCUAGGUCGGAUUAGCUAGUUGGUGAGGUAAUGGCUCACCAAGGCGACGAUCCGUAACUGGUCUGAGAGGAUGAUCAGUCACACUGGAACUGAGACACGGUCCAGACUCCUACGGGAGGCAGCAGUGGGGAAUAUUGGACAAUGGGCGAAAGCCUGAUCCAGCCAUGCCGCGUGUGUGAAGAAGGUCUUCGGA
rnacentral:rRNA from 1 species